rnacentral:rRNA from 1 species
GAUGAACGCUAGCUACAGGCUUAACACAUGCAAGUCGAGGGGCAGCAUGAAGUUUGCUUGCAAACUUUGAUGGCGACCGGCGCACGGGUGAGUAACGCGUAUCCAACCUUCCCCUUAGUAGGGCACAGCCCGGCGAAAGUCGGAUUAAUUCCCUAUGUUGUUUGAUGCUGACAUCAAAAUCAAACCAAAGAUUCAUCGCUAAGGGAUGGGGAUGCGUCUGAUUAGAUAGUAGGCGGGGUAACGGCCCACCUAGUCAACGAUCAGUAGGGGUUCUGAGAGGAAGGUCCCCCACAUUGGAACUGAGACACGGUCCAAACUCC